UAGCUCAGUUGGAUAGAGCAACGGCCUUCUAAGCCGUGGGUCGGGGGUUCGAAUCCCUUCG
rnacentral:tRNA from 1 species